AUGAAAACCCGAAUCGCUUUCAUAAGACCCGAAGAAGCUCAUGUUACUGGCAAUUUUUACUUUUAUUUAUGAAAUUAUGUUUUUACAUUUCACAUUAUUUGGACUAAUAUUUUGUUCCGUUUACUCUUGAGAUUACACAAUACUUCCAAUUCGGAAACUACGGAGUAUCUAAGAUUUAAUGCGAGAGGUACACUACACAACACGACUAUACGCAAUUAAAAUUUAAUAUCACUAGUUCAUUAAUUACUUUACUA